GCCUGGGUGGCUCAGUCGGUUGAGCGUCUGACUCUUGAUUUCAGCUCAGGUCAGGAUCUCAAGGUCUGUGGGAUCGAGCCCCGCAUUGGGCU
rnacentral:tRNA from 1 species